rnacentral:rRNA from 1 species
CACGUAGGGGGCGAGCGUUGUCCGGAUUUAUUGGGCGUAAAGAGCUCGUAGGCGGCUCACUAAGUCGGGUGUGAAAUUUCGAGGCUCAACCUCGAAACGCCACCCGAUACUGGUGUGGCUAGAGUCCGGUAGGGGAGCGUGGAAUUCCUGGUGUAGCGGUGAAAUGCGCAGAUAUUGGGAGGAACACCAGCGGCGAAGGCGGCACUCUGGUCUGGUACUGACGCUGAGGAGCGAAAGCGUGGGUAGCGAACAGG